rnacentral:sRNA from 1 species
GUUUUCAUCAUAAAUUCCAGCUCUUCCCCCACUGUCCAUUUGGAGCCCCAGAAGCUACAGGAUGCUAAUGUUGCUGUUUGCUGUCCUCUUCCAGGACCGCCUGUACUUUGUGAUGGAGUACGUGAAUGGGGGCGACCUCAUGUAUCACAUCCAGCAAGUCGGCCGGUUCAAGGAGCCCCAUGCUGUAUUUUACGCUGCAGAAAUUGCCAUCGGUCUGUUCUUCUUACAGAGUAAGGGCAUCAUUUACCGGUAAGUGAACACUGCUGUACUUUCCAACUCUUCAUCUCCCUCAGCUCCUCCCUGCCCUGCCUCUUUCUUCAGCUGCUUUUAAAAUUAGAAUCCGCGGUGGGGGAGGAAUCCUCCAGAACUAACUUGGGCAUGUGUUCUGCCAGGCAGCAUCGCCCACUGCCCUGGCAAAGUUUGGGCAGCUCUGUAUGGUGGUAGAAAAUCUCGGUGGACUGUGUCACCAAUGAUGGUUCAGAGCCUCAAACAGGAGACUGUUUGCUGUAAGAGGAGACUCACAGAGAGGACCUCAGUACUUCUUUCUCUUGCUUGUGGACCCUACAUUUGAGGAGCAGGCAAAGAAUUUUGGCUGGCAG